rnacentral:misc_RNA from 1 species
GUAGGUGAACCUGCGGAAGGAUCAUUAUUGAAUGAACAUGGAGUCGGUUGUCGCUGGCCCCUUUACCGGGGCAUGUGCACGCCUUCUCUAUUCAUCCACACACACCUGUGAACUUGUGAGACGGAUAGUAGUCCCCUAGGGGGCGAGGUCCGUCUGCUAAUACAUAAACUCUAAUAAUAUAAAUUCGAAUGUCAUUUGAUGUAACGCAUCUAUAGACUAAGUUUCAACAACGGAUCUCUUGGCUCUC